GCUUUGCUUACUUGUCGUCGGUUCUUUUAGCUGUGUAUAGAGUCCAGUUGGCUGGGGUUGUAUAGUGCCUGUCUAGGCGAUCCCUUCUUUUUAAUACAGCAGGCAGCUCUCCUGCCGGUUCGUUUCAAAAAAAAAAUGUUGCAAAAAUGUUUACGUGAUUAAUUCCUUAUGCAUAUACUCAGGGGUCGGGAACAACUGGUGGAGCAGCAAGCACUUCUUAAGCUGGACAAAUGUUAGAGGCCGGCCUGAUUACUGUCGCAUGUAAUGGACUCUCAGAGAUUGUUUGCAUUGACGUUUGUGCAUAUGUCAUUAUUUGGCUUGGUUAAACCAACUACAACAUCAUAUAUACAAAGGAUCAGAAGAGUAUAAGAUG
rnacentral:lncRNA from 1 species